UUGGAAUAUUUCCAAAUCAUUGAUAGUGACCUCAAAUUUUUGUAGUUACACAUGCACAAGUUCUGCAAUUGCAUCAAGACUCAUUCUCAAUCUUGUGCUUCAUAAUUUAGAGUUACACACUUAAGAAUAAAAUUCUGUAUGUCAACAUAUGUGAUCAGCUAAGAAAAAUAUUAAUAAGAUGUUACAUAAUGUAUCAAUAUAAUUAUUAUAUUUCUUACACAUGAAGGUUUAUGUAAUACUGUAAAGUUCAAGCAUAUUUAUGUGUUUAC
rnacentral:lncRNA from 1 species